rnacentral:rRNA from 1 species
CAGCAGCCACGGUAAUACGUGGGGUGCAAGCGUUAUUCGGAUUGAUUGGGUGUAAAGGGUGUGCAGACGGCUUAUUAAGUCAUUUGUUAAAUUCUUCGGCCUAACUGAAGGUCUGCAAGUGAUACUGAUGAGCUAGAGGGUGGAAGAGAGAAGUGGAAUUCUCGGAGUAGCGGUAAAAUGCGUAGAUCUCGAGAGGAACACCAAUGGCGAAGGCAGCUUCUUGGUCCAUUCCUGACGUUCAUACACGAAAGCGUGGGGAGCAAACAGGAUUAGAUACCCCGGUAGUCCCUGUCUCUUAUAC